CUAUUUUAUAUCCUUCCUUUCAUCUAUGUAUUCUUUCCUACAGAAUAUAUGCUUAAGGGUGAUAAAUGUGUCACAAUGGAGAAAUGCAAACCCUUUAUUCAGUUUGUAUUUUAUAGGUGGGUGUUAGAUUUGAUACUAAAAGCUUUGAUACAUGGUAUCUAAGUCGUGUUGCUUUAAGGUGGAACACUUCUCAAAAAAACCCACUCAAAUGGCUGUGAGAAUCCAACUAG
rnacentral:lncRNA from 1 species